rnacentral:rRNA from 1 species
GACGAACGCUGGCGGCGUGCUUAACACAUGCAAGUCGAACGAGUGGCGGACGGGUGAGUAAUGUCUGGGAAACUGCCUGAUGGAGGGGGAUAACUACUGGAAACGGUAGCUAAUACCGCAUACCAUCGGAUGUGCCCAGAUGGGAUUAGCUAGUAGGUGGGGUAAAGGCUCACCUAGGCCAAGAUCCCUAGCGGGUCUGAGAGGAUGACCAGCCACACGGGAACUGAGACACGGUCCAGACUCCUACGGGAGGCAGCAGUGGGGAAUAUUGCACAAUGGGCGCAAGCCUGAUGCAGCCAUGCCGCGUGUAUGAAGAAGGCCUUCGGGUUGUAAAGUACUUUCAGCGGGGAGGCGUUACCCGCAGAAGAAGCACCGGCUAACUCCGUGCCAGCAGCCGCGGUAAUAC